UUUGGAAUCUGCAGUUGACUCAUGUGUAGAGAUCCUAUUUUGUGGAUACUGCAGGUUCUAAUGUAUCCGUUAAAAUCUGAUAAUUGGUGUUUGACUGAUUUAACAUCAUUAUCAUUUGGAAAUUGCUUCUUCUUACAGUUUAAUUGAAGCCUCUAUAAUAUGAUUCAUUCUUCAUAUGCUCCUAUUAUCCAGUCUGUUUCUAAUCUCGUUGCUGGUGGUUGCUGCUGGAUUUCCUGGCUUCGUGACUUUAGCCUGCUCAUGCCAUUUUGAAAAAUGUCUUUCUGUGGUUCUUCUACUGCUACUACAUCAGAUCAUUUCUGGGUUUCUUUAUAACAUGGAGGGUUUUGAAUUGGCUUGUUUGUCAAGAUUCUCUUGUUAUUCGGGGAGUACCAAUGAUUUGGAGGUUGCUACAAUACUCAAGAUACUGCAGUCUCUUUUCAGGUUGGCUAGCUUCCUCUGCAGUAUCUAGAAUCAAUUUCGGGAGAUUUGCACAAGUUCUGUAACUGUAUUGACUGUGGAGCGCAAAUGUACAACCAAUUGUCAAUCUUAUGAUCUUUAUUCUUAUUUUCAUAAAAUGCAAAUACCUGGGAACAUAGUGAGUCAUUGGACUGAAAGACAAAUAUUAGAGCUAUGGAUCUCUCUCCUUUUAAGUGAGACAUUGAUAAGUUUAUAGAUGAGGGUGAAUUGACUACUCUGGCUGAUAUAAAAAAGUAUGGGUCUC